rnacentral:tRNA from 1 species
AAAUCCACGUGCUCGGAUUUGAACCCAGGACUCUUGUAUGCUAGACGAGCGCUUUACCAACUCAGUAAAGAGAAUU